CUUGAUACAAAAUAAUAAUCAGGAACCAUCCAAGACAUUUAAGCAUCUGCAUCCAUUUGGAUAAAUCACAUUAUAUUGCUUUGUUUGUCCAUAAACCAAAAUACCCCUUUGCAAUGCUUAACAAAGAUCAGAAACCAGAAAAGGGAGAGGGCUGUUUGCUAAUAAAGUCAUUUUAUCCUUGCUAACAGGCAAUUGACUGACCAUAAGAAUUUACCAAGGCCCCAAAUUCACCAGCCUUGAACAAUCAAUCUCCUCCUUCCACACUGAAUAAUUUUUAAUUGCGGACUCUCAAUAUUUAACCUUAAUUAACCCCUAUCAUUCCAAACCAUUGUUUUUUUCCCCCCAGUUGCUUUCAGGUAGUGUUAUUGUUUUUCUUUCUUGCAAAAUUCCUCCCUUUUCUUCACAGUGACCUAGAUUUGUCAAAUUGGAACAAAUACACUAAUAAAGCUGCAGUACUUCCUGUCUCCACCUCCUCCAUCCAAAAGCUCAUUAAUAUUUUCAGAGUAUAUUGCCUCGAGUCCUUGUUAACCCUUCCAUGCUCCCCUUCCUUUCCAAGUUGUAACCUGAGAUGAGACAUUUAACAACAACUGCACGGAAGGGGUGUUUUCACAGUACAGUAUCCGGGUACUACAGCAACAUCCAAAGUAAUAGCAGAUGAAUCGGUGUCAGAAGAUGACAAAAGGAGGUGUGUUGACAAGGAACUGGACUGAAAUUGCAUGGAUCAAAAAGAUUAUGGAGGUGUUUAUGUUGGCUUACCAGCUGCAGAAGCCAAGAUUUCCAGCCAGACAAAAACAGCAUCUAAAGGAACCUGACCAGAGAGAACAAUCUGCAGAACAGACUUUUGGAAGACAAGUGCUAAGGGAGAGUCAGUCCAUCAUUUUAUGAGCUUGGAACAGAUGUUAUCUGCAAAAAUCACUCGUUGCCAAGUGAAUUAUCCCAUCACGUAGAAACGCGAAAGCUUGAAAGAGCUGCAACUGUGAAUCAAGUGGAGUUCUGAAAUGAAAUGAAAUGAAAUGGAUGAAGAAUCAAAUCUUAUGGACAAUUUUGAUGCCAUUUAAUGCUGCAUUAAUUAGAUGAUAUAGGGCAAUUCUGCCCAAGAAUGCAUGCUGCUCGUUGUUAACACUUUGAAUAACACUUUGUUUCCUGUAUUUUUGAUAGCUUUUUUAACUAAAAAAACCAACCCAUUUCUAUUGUUCACUCAAAUGCUCCUAAGCUGAUGCUACAAUACAUUACUGAUUUACUUAAGAAUAAUAAGGUUAUUUGAAUGAUAUAUUCAAACAGUAGCUUUUGGAAUUUAGACAAGGGUUCCAAAAGACAUUGUCAGAUCCCUUUGAUUAUUGGUUGCUUUUAUAUUGACUGUGAACCUCUUGCUAAGAGGUUACUAAAAAUAGAUUGUAAUUUUUCAAUGUUUUGUACUGUUUUUUUCGUCUUUCAUUUAAUCACUCAUUCCUGUUAACAUUAAAAGAAAUAGCUGCUUUCUCUGAAAUGCUUGCGUUGCAUAAUGCUUAUGUUUCUCAUAAGAUUUUAGAAAAUGUAAUGAUAGGUAUGGCAGAUACCACAGCAAAACAAAUGCAGCUUGUUCUGUUGUGCUUGCAAAGAAAUUCCAGGAAAGCCCAUUGAAAUAAAUAUUGCCUUGGAGUUGA